UACGGGGGGAGCAAGCGUUGUUCGGAUUUACUGGGCGUAAAGGGCGCGUAGGCGGCGCAACAAGUCACUUGUGAAAUCUCCGGGCUUAACCCGGAGCGGCCAAGUGAUACUGUCGGGCUAGAGUGCGGAAGGGGCGACUGGAAUUCUCGGUGUAGCGGUGAAAUGCGUAGAUAUCGAGAGGAACACCUGCGGCGAAGGCGGGUAGCUGGGCCGAAACUGACGCUGAGGAGCGAAAGCGUGGGGAGCAAACAGG
rnacentral:rRNA from 1 species